GACGAACGCUGGCGGCGUGCUUAACACAUGCAAGUCGAACGAACAGCGAUGGAGGUUUGCUUUUAUCAAUCUUAGUGGCGCACGGGUGAGUAACGCGUAUUCAACCUGUCCUUCAGUGGGGUACAACAGUUGGAAACGACUUCUAAUACCGCAUACUAUCUAAUCUCGUCAUCGAGUAUAGAUGAAAGGUUUUCUCUACAUUUAUGCUAUCACUCACGGCGCGGUUUGCGUUUGAUUAGCUAGCUGGUGGGGUAACCGCCCAACAAGGGGAUGAACAGUAGGCGGACUGAGAGGAUGAACGGGCAAAUUGGGACUGGGACACGGCCCAGACUCCUAAGGGGGGCAGCAGUGAGGAAACUUCCGCAAUGGAGGGAAGUCUGACGGGGCAAAGCCGCGUGAGUGAUGACGGCCUUCGGGUUGUAAAGAUCUGGUAAUCGGGACGAAAGGCAUGCUUGAGAAUAGUGAGAAGGAUUGACGGUACCGGAAUAGAAAGCCACGGCUAACUACGUG
rnacentral:rRNA from 1 species